rnacentral:rRNA from 1 species
UACGUAGGGGGCAAGCGUUGUCCGGAUUUAUUGGGCGUAAAGAGCGUGUAGGCGGCCGCACAGGUCCGUUGUGAAAACUGGAGGCUUAACCUUCAGACGUCGAUGGAAACCGUGCGGCUAGAGUCCGGAAGAGGAGAAUGGAAUUCCUGGUGUAGCGGUGAAAUGCGCAGAUAUCAGGAAGAACACCCGUGGCUAAGGCGGUUCUCUAGUACGGUACUGACGCUGAGACGCGGAAGCGUGGGGAGCGAACAGG